UACGUAGGUGGCAAGCGUUACUCGGAAUCACUAGGCGUAAAGCGCAGGUAGGCGGUUCGGUAAGUCUUUUGUGAAAGCUCCUGGCUCAACUGGGAGAGGUCAAAGGAAACUACCGGGCUAGAGUUUGGUAGGGGAUACUGGAAUUCCUGGUGUAGCGGUGAAAUGCGUAGAUAUCAGGAGGAACACCGGUGGUGUAGACGGCUUUCUGGACCGUAACUGACGCUGAAACACGAAAGCGUGGGUAGCAAACAGG
rnacentral:rRNA from 1 species